rnacentral:rRNA from 1 species
AGAGUUUGAUCCUGGCUCAGGAUGAACGCUAGCGACAGGCUUAACACAUGCAAGUCGAGGGGCAGCAUGAUUUGUAGCAAUACAGAUUGAUGGCGACCGGCGCACGGGUGAGUAACGCGUAUGCAACUUACCUAUCAGAGGGGGAUAGCCCGGCGAAAGUCGGAUUAAUACCCCAUAAAACAGGGGUCCCGCAUGGGAAUAUUUGUUAAAGAUUCAUCGCUGAUAGAUAGGCAUGCGUUCCAUUAGGCAGUUGGCGGGGUAACGGCCCACCAAACCGACGAUGGAUAGGGGUUCUGAGAGGAAGGUCCCCCACAUUGGUACUGAGACACGGACCAAACUCCUACGGGAGGCAGCAGUGAGGAAUAUUGGUCAAUGGACGAGAGUCUGAACCAGCCAAGUCGCGUGAAGGAAGAAGGAUCUAUGGUUUGUAAACUUCUUUUAUAGGGGAAUAAAGUGGAGGACGUGUCCUUUUUUGUAUGUACCCUAUGAAUAAGCAUCGGCUAACUCCGUGCCAGCAGCCGCGGUAAUACGGAGGAUGCGAGCGUUAUCCGGAUUUAUUGGGUUUAAAGGGAGCGCAGACGGGACUUUAAGUCAGCUGUGAAAUUUUCCGGCUCAACCGGGAAACUGCAGUUGAUACUGGCGUCCUUGAGUACGGUCGAGGCAGGCGGAAUUCGUGGUGUAGCGGUGAAAUGCUUAGAUAUCACGAAGAACCCCGAUUGCGAAGGCAGCCUGCCAGACCGCAACUGACGUUCAUGCUCGAAAGUGCGGGUAUCAAACAGGAUUAGAUACCCUGGUAGUCCGCACGGUAAACGAUGAAUACUCGCUGUCGGCGAUACACUGUCGGCGGCCAAGCGAAAGCGUUAAGUAUUCCACCUGGGGAGUACGCCGGCAACGGUGAAACUCAAAGGAAUUGACGGGGGCCCG